GGGGAUUAGCGCUGCUUUCCCAAGACAGGUUUUUAUGUGUAUGAUCUUCAGGCUUUGCCUAUCCAGGUGGGCUUACUUUCCAAAUGUACAAAGUAUGAUUGAGUUAUUAAGCUCUAAAUAUUUCAAUGAAAUGCAAAUUGUUUAUUUAAUGUAAUGAAAACUGUUUAUCCAAUAAAAUGUUUAUGUGCACUCUGCUCUGUUUAAGGCUCGCCACAACGAAUCAAUUGAGGUUCUCUUAUGGCCUAACACGUUAUUUGAGAAUUGUGUACACUCGUUAGCUGACCUGGUGGGUUGAUCUCCAUCGGGCACUAACUAAGAGGCGUUAUAAGGGUGCUUGCUGGAUGUGUUCCGAAGCAUGUAAUGUAAGGGCCUGCCUGGGUAGCGUCCCGAGGUCAAUUCAACUUGUCUGAGUUACGUCCUCAGGGCAAGUGCAAUGGGAGAAAUGGAUCCGUCGGUGGCUAGAGGUCCGGGAUCACAGCGAGUAACAGAAAGGGAGUGUGACAUGUGCGCACAAAUGAAAGAAAAUGUUUUAACAUGCUUAGAAGUACUUCUUUCAAUUUAAAACCUUCUAAGUCAUGUCAAGUAUGAUUGGAUAAACUGUCUUUAUUAAAAUAUGAAAUGUUUCAGAAAAAUGCAUGCCCACUAAGUACAUUAGUACUUAGCCCAAAAAUACUUUCAAAUGUUUUCAGGUUGGCUGGCCGGUGCUGACGGGACGGAGCUGAGGCUAGAGUUAAAUUCCUAUGUUAGACUUCCGCUGUAGAAAUUACUCAUAUCAGUCUUUGUUUUUCCCAACUUAAGAUCUUCAUGUUAAAUUUCAAAUGAUAUAUUUGACCGAGCUUAGACUCUUCACUACUAAAU
rnacentral:lncRNA from 1 species